rnacentral:rRNA from 1 species
CCUACGGGUGGCAGCAGUGAGGAAUAUUGGUCAAUGGCCGCAGGGCUGAACCAGCAAAGUCGCGUGAGGGAUGACGGUCCUAGGGAUUGUAAAUCUUUUUUGGCAGGGAGCAAAGGGUGCCACGUGUGGCGUUUUGCGAGUACCUGAAGAAAAAGCAUCGGCUAACUGCGUGCCAGCAGCCGCGGUAAUACGGAGGAUGCGAGCGUUAUCCGGAUUUAUUGGGUUUAAAGGGGGCGCAGGGGGAAUGUCAAGUCAGCGGUAAAAUUUCGGGGCUCAACCCCGUCGUGCCGUUGAAACUGGCGUUCUUGAGUGAGCGAGAAGCAUGCGGAAUGCGUGGUGUAGCGGUGAAAUGCAUAGAUAUCAGGCAGAACUCCGAUGGCGAAGGCAGAAUACCGGCGCUCAACUGACGCUCAUGCACGAAAGCGUGGGUAUCGAACAGGAUUAGAUACCCGAGUAGUC